GACGAACGCUGGCGGCGUGCUUAACACAUGCAAGUCGAGCGGUAAGGCCCUUCGGGGUACACGAGCGGCGAACGGGUGAGUAACACGUGGGUGACCUGCCCCCUACUCUGGGAUAAGCCUGGGAAACUAGGGUCUAAUACCGGAUAUGACCUGCUGUCGCAUGAUGGUGGGUGGGAAAGUUUGUUCUUAAUUGGACACUUCGGUGGGGGAUGGGCCCGCGGCCUAUCAGCUUGUUGGUGGGGUGAUGGCCUACCAAGGCGACGACGGGUAGCCGGCCUGAGAGGGCGACCGGCCACACUGGGACUGAGACACGGCCCAGACUCCUACGGGAGGCAGCAGUGGGGAUAUUGCGCAAUGGGCGGAAGCCUGACGCAGCGACGCCGCGUGGGGA
rnacentral:rRNA from 1 species